rnacentral:rRNA from 1 species
UGGACAGAAAGACCCUAUGAAGCUUUACUGUAUCUUGGAAUUGAACUCGGGUUUUAUUUGCGCAGUAUAGGUGGGAGGCUAUGACGAUCGACUUGCGGGUUGUUCUGAGCCAAAAGUGAGAUACCACUCUGGUACAACUAGAGUUCUAACCUUGUCAGCCGUUAUCCGGCCAAGGAACAGUUUCAGGUGGGCAGUUUGACUGGGGCGGUCGCCUCCUAAAAAGUAACGGAGGCGUGCAAAGGUUCCCUCAGGCUGGUCGGAAAUCAGUCUUAGAGUAUAAAGGCAUAAGGGAGCUUGACUGCAAGACCUACAAGUCAAGCAGAGACGAAAGUCGGCCUUAGUGAUCCGACAGUUCCGAGUGAAGGGCCGUCGCC